CGUAAAUACCACAGAUUUUAUUCAGUAAGUGUACAGAAAAUUCAUUUAUACAACAAAAAGCUCCACAUUCUCCAGGAGAAUAAACUUCUGAAAACAACAACAAAGCAUAAGUAAACUUGACUAAUUACAUGGUGACAAAUUACAACUUCUUACACCACAAUCGAGUUUACAGUGACCGGCACUGCCACCAAAAUCACUGCGGCAAUUAUACAUCAGACACAUCCAUCUUCACAUCCAUAUCCCUCGAUACAAAAUAGAUCAAUCCUCACACAGUCCGAUGAACGAUCCGGAAUUUGUAGCCAUGAACAACUUUGCGGCGUCGUGGAGAGGCUGGACGGGUAGCCGACAUGCCUGCUGCGAGGAUGACGCGCGGCCGCCGUCGAUAAGAGCUGGUGCUGUUCCUCGUCAUGACUAACUACGCUGCGUGACGGAGUAUAUGGACGGGCAGCCCGCGCACAUGCCGCGAGGAGGACACACCGUCGAUCUUGCCGCACGGCGGCUGGCGGCCGGCGACGGCAAGGAGAACGCGCCGUCUUGCCGCACGGCGGCCGGCGGCGGCGACUAGAGGUCGUGCAGAACCCUAGACUUACUGUGGGAUUUAUAAUGGCCGGUUG
rnacentral:rRNA from 1 species